AUUCUACAGGCUUAACACAUGCAAGUCGAGGGGCAUCAGGAAGAAAGCUUGCUUUCUUUGCUGGCGACCGGCGCACGGGUGAGUAACACGUAUCCAACCUGCCCUUUACUCGGGGAUAGCCUUUCGAAAGAAAGAUUAAUACCCGAUAGCAUAAUGAUUCCGCAUGGUUUCAUUAUUAAAGGAUUCCGGUAAAGGAUGGGGAUGCGUUCCAUUAGGUUGUUGGUGAGGUAACGGCUCACCAAGCCUUCGAUGGAUAGGGGUUCUGAGAGGAAGGUCCCCCACAUUGGAACUGAGACACGGUCCAAACUCCUACGGGAGGCAGCAGUGAGGAAUAUUGGUCAAUGGGCGCUAGCCUGAACCAGCCAAGUAGCGUGAAGGAUGAAGGCUCUAUGGGUCGUAAACUUCUUUUAUAUAAGAAUAAAGUGCAGUAUGUAUACUGUUUUGUAUGUAUUAUAUGAAUAAGGAUCGGCUAACUCCGUGCCAGCAGCCGCGGUAAUACGGAGGAUCCGAGCGUUAUCCGGAUUUAUUGGGUUUAAAGGGAGCGUAGGCGGACUGGUAAGUCAGUUGUGAAAGUUUGCGGCUCAACCGUAAAAUUGCAGUUGAUACUGUCAGUCUUGAGUACAGUAGAGGUGGGCGGAAUUCGUGGUGUAGCGGUGAAAUGCUUAGAUAUCACGAAGAACUCCGAUUGCGAAGGCAGCUCACUGGACUGCAACUGACACUGAUGCUCGAAAGUGUGGGUAUCAAACAGGAUUAGAUACCCUGGUAGUCCACACAGUAAACGAUGAAUACUCGCUGUUUGCGAUAUACAGUAAGCGGCCAAGCGAAAGCAUUAAGUAUUCCACCUGGGGAGUACGCCGGCAACGGUGAAACUCAAAGGAAUUGACGGGGGCCCGCACAAGCGGAGGAACAUGUGGUUUAAUUCGAUGAUACGCGAGGAACCUUACCCGGGCUUAAAUUGCAGUGGAAUGAUGUGGAAACAUGUCAGUGAGCAAUCACCGCUGUGAAGGUGCUGCAUGGUUGUCGUCAGCUCGUGCCGUGAGGUGUCGGCUUAAGUGCCAUAACGAGCGCAACCCUUAUCUUUAGUUACUAACAGGUCAUGCUGAGGACUCUAGAGAGACUGCCGUCGUAAGAUGUGAGGAAGGUGGGGAUGACGUCAAAUCAGCACGGCCCUUACGUCCGGGGCUACACACGUGUUACAAUGGGGGGUACAGAAGGCAGCUAGCGGGUGACCGUAUGCUAAUCCCAAAAGCCUCUCUCAGUUCGGAUCGAAGUCUGCAACCCGACUUCGUGAAGCUGGAUCCGCUAGUAAUCGCGCAUCAGCCACGGCGCGGUGAAUACGUUCCCGGGCCUUGUACACACCGCCCGUCAAGCCAUGGGAGCCGGGGGUACCUGAAGUACGUAACCGCAAGGAUCGUCCUAGGGUAAAACUGGUGACU
rnacentral:rRNA from 1 species